AAGAGGAAGAAGAGGAGUCACGGGACGGUAUGACGGAGGCACCCGCGUUGUGCUGUUGUCUUAAACAGGAUGAGGCUAAAGAGAGAAAACAAGACCAGAAGGCCUCAGUAUGUUGAGAAGGUGUGCAAAAGGUCACCGAUGAGUUGUUCUCCAGUUACCGGAUCUGCGAAAGACCCCCUGUCUGAGGCUGAUUUUUUCCUGAUGGAUGGGAGCAGCUUCAUGGAAAAUGAGGCACACUAUGCUGGCUAUGCAGUGACAACUCAAGAUGA